CGGGGUGUCGUAUAAUGGUAGUACGCUUGCUUUGGGAGCAUGUAGCCUGGGUUCGAUUCCCGGCACCCCGACCG
rnacentral:tRNA from 2 species